UACGGAGGAUGCAAGCGUUAUCCGGAAUGAUUGGGCGUAAUGCGUCCGCAGGUGGCUAUGUAAGUCUGCUGUUAAAGAGUGAGGCUCAACCUCAUAAGAGCAGUGGAAACUACAUGGCUAGAGUGCGUUCGGGGCAGAGGGAAUUCCUGGUGUAGCGGUGAAAUGCGUAGAGAUCAGGAAGAACACCGGUGGCGAAAGCGUUCUGCUAGGCCGCAACUGACACUCAUGGACGAAAGCUAGGGGAGCGAAUGGG
rnacentral:rRNA from 1 species